UGGACUAGUAUAAGCAUUAUACCGUGAACUGCGAAUGGCUCAUUAAAUCAGUUAUCGUUUAUUUGAUAAUACCUUACUACUUGGAUAACCGUGGUAAUUCUAGAGCUAAUACAUGCUAAAAAUCCCGACUUCGGAAGGGAUGUGUUUAUUAGAUAAAAAACCAAUGCCCUUCGGGGCUUCUUGGUGAUUCAUGAUAACUUUACGGAUCGCAUAGCCUUGCGCUGGCGACGGUUCAUUCAAAUUUCUGCCCUAUCAACUUUCGAUGGUAAGGUAUUGGCUUACCAUGGUUUCAACGGGUAACGGGGAAUUAGGGUUCGAUUCCGGAGAGGGAGCCUGAGAAACGGCUACCACAUCCAAGGAAGGCAGCAGGCGCGCAAAUUACCCAAUCCCGACACGGGGAGGUAGUGACAAUAAAUACUGAUACAGGGCUCUUUUGGGUCUUGUAAUUGGAAUGAGUACAAUUUAAACCUCUUAACGAGGAACAAUUGGAGGGCAAGUCUGGUGCCAGCAGCCGCGGUAAUUCCAGCUCCAAUAGCGUAUAUUAAAGUUGUUGCAGUUAAAAAGCUCGUAGUUGAAACUUGGGCCUGGCUGGCGGGUCCGCCUCACCGCGUGCACUCGUCCGGCCGGGCCUUCCUUCUGAAGAACCUCAUGCCCUUCACUGGGCGUGUUGGGGAAUCAGGACUUUUACUUUGAAAAAAUUAGAGUGUUCAAAGCAGGCCUUUGCUCGAAUACGUUAGCAUGGAAUAAUAAAAUAGGGCGUGCGUUUCUAUUUUGUUGGUUUCUAGAGACGCCGCAAUGAUUAACAGGAACAGUCGGGGGCAUCAGUAUUCAGUUGUCAGAGGUGAAAUUCUUGGAUUUACUGAAGACUAACUACUGCGAAAGCAUUUGCCAAGGAUGUUUUCAUUAAUCAGUGAACGAAAGUCAGGGAUCGAAGACGAUCAGAUACCGUCGUAGUCUUGACCGUAAACUAUGCCGACUAGGGAUCGGGCGGAUGUUCUUUC
rnacentral:rRNA from 1 species